UACGGAGGGGCUAGCGUUGUUCGGAAUUACUGGGCGUAAAGCGUGCGCAGGCGGUAAUGCAAGACAGAUGUGAAAUCCCCGGGCUUAACCUGGGAACUGCAUUUGUGACUGCAUUGCUGGAGUGCGGCAGAGGGGGAUGGAAUUCCGCGUGUAGCAGUGAAAUGCGUAGAUAUGCGGAGGAACACCGAUGGCGAAGGCAUCCCUGGACCUGUACUGACGCUCAUGCACGAAAGGCGUGGGAGCAAACGAGGAU
rnacentral:rRNA from 1 species